GCAAUAGCUACUUGCAUCAUAGUUAAUAUGAUGCAAGCUCGACUAAGUUGAAUAAAAUUCUAGGUAGAAUUAUGAUAAUGACAUUGUCUGCCUAUGUGUCUUGACCAAAUUACGUGCCAGCAGUCGCGGGAAUACGUAGAAGACUAGUGUUAUUCAUGUUUAAUCGGUUUAAAGGGUACCUAGACGGUGAAUCAAGCUUUGGUGUAAAUAAUAAAAACCAUAUUGUAUAAGACCUAUAUUUGAGAUACAUAUUUACAUAUGAUAAGGACUAAUUUACUAGAGUUACUUACGAGGGGGUAUUAAAGUACUGCUGGUGUAGAGAUGAAAUUCUGUCAUACCUCUUUUCGAAAGAAAAAUCAUGGCACAGGUAUAGGCGAAGGCAUCCCCUUAUGGGCUAACUGACGUUGAGGGACGAAGGCUUCAUGUAACAAACAGGAUUAGAUACCCUAGUAGUUGAAAGCAGAAAAUGAUGAAUGUCAUAGAUUAGAUAUAUAAGUUUAUUCUAUAAAUGAAAGUGUAAGCAUUCCACCUCAUGAGUAAUUUGGCAACAUUGGAAUUGAAAUCAUUAGACCGUUUCUGAAACCAGUAGUGAAGUAUGUUGUUUAAUUUGAUACUCCGCAAAAAACCUUACCACAAUUUGAAUAUUUAGAUCUUUUAUUGUUUUCAUCUUAAUUUUAUUAUGAUUUUAUUUUUAUUUUAAAAAAAAGAAAAAAUUAAGAAUAAGGCAA
rnacentral:rRNA from 1 species